rnacentral:rRNA from 1 species
UACGUAGGGUGCAAGCGUUAUUCGGAAUCACUGGGCGUAAAGGGCGCUCAGGCGGUUUUGUAAGUCUAAAGUGAAAUCCUUGGGCUUAACCCAAGGGCCGCUUUAGAUACUGCAAAACUCGAGUUCGGGAAAAGCAAGCGGAAUUCCUGGUGAAGGGGUGAAAUCCGUAGAUAUCAGGAAGAACACCAGUGGCGAAAGUGGCUUGCGAGAACGCAACUGACGCUUAGGCGCGAAAGCGUGGGGAGCAAACAGG